rnacentral:tRNA from 1 species
GUGGUGUAGUGGUUAUCACAUCUGUCUAACACACAGAAGGUCGGUGGUUCGAGCCCGCCC